rnacentral:misc_RNA from 1 species
UUUAAAAAAAAAAAACAAUUAAACGAUAAAGUUUAUAAUUAGUAUUAAUUAAAUUUUAUUUAAUUGCUGAAUAAUUAAAAAUCAGAUGAUUUCACCAGAAUUAAUGAGUCCAGAAGGCUCUCAAACCUCGUCAACUUCUAGACGAAGCAAUUUUGGAACUCCUACGGCGCGUAAACAGGCGCUACGAAGUGUUUUAGAUAAAACACAAAGCUUACAAAAUCAUGCUAAUUCAAAUGCGACACUUGGAAUUUUAGAAAAUGUUUUCCAGGAAGCAGAUCAAAUUCACGAUGACAUUUCUAUGGAGGAAAAAAUCAGCAACCAGGAUGAAGUGGUAAUGGACUCGGAAGUGAUGAGCGUGUCGUCAAAAGUCAUAAAGUCUUGCACCCAAGUCCUAACCAAGGAGUACAACACGUUCAGCAGCAUGGAGUUUGCUCAUAAAUUGAUGGAGUACGUCCAGCAAUUACCGGACACGACGGUCGCGGAUGUCAACUGGUCGAUGCUGCAGAAGGACGUUCCAGCGUUCAAAGCCACCGCGACUUACGUGAACCUGCUGAACAAGAUAAUGCGCGUCGGUGAGAGGAGAAACAAGCGCGACAAGAACGGCAGCGGCGACAAAAGUUUGAAUGACAGCGGAAGCAACGACGAAGGAAGACCCAAGGGCUCGGUUAAGACUGAAAAUAUACUGAGCAGCCAGAGGCGCAAUGCCUACGUCGAACAGGUUGCCGCGAGAAUGAAUCGUACGAGAUUGAACGACCCGAAUGUGACCACCAAGCGUCCCGAUAACGUUAUCCAAGUCGAGGUCGACGCUGACAACGACGGCAACAAACCGAUUCUUGAUCAUCUUCGCAAGCUGAUCAGGAAAGUUUAUAAAGACAACGGGAAGCAGCCUAUUGAUUACUUCAAGCUCAUCCUCGAUCCCGGUGACUUUGGAAAAACCAUUGAAAAUAUGCUCCACGUCGCUUUCCUCGCCAAAGACGGAUUCAUUCGAUUUAGAACUGGUAAUUUCUCUCACGAUUAUUAUUAUUUAUCAAUUAUUAUUUCGACGGUCUCAGGUGGUAACUGCAUUGAUUUUAACCUGGUCAAUAAUUAUUAAGAUUUUAAUUAUUGGCUCUUAAAUCUGGUUCUAUCCUAGAUCCUAAACUGAAUAAUUGUCAUUAGAAACUUAAAAAUAUAAAUAUUAGGUAAUGCAGUUACAUAACUAUUAAAAAUCAAUAAUUAUGAAAUAAAGUCACCUAGUUAAUGAGUAUUAUAUAAAUUAUCCAUGAAAGAAAUUAAUUAGAAAUAUAUUUAACUCGCGGAUAAUCAUUAUUGUUAAUUUUGUGCUGAGUGUAAUUUAUCUGGGAGUGAAAACUUGAGCAAGAUCCGCCAUGUUGGACACGAUGUGUAAUGGAACCGUGUUUCGUGGUCGAGAAUACAGAAAUCUCACUUAUAUAAUCGAUUUAUCCGAGUUUUUUAUGACACUUAGUCAAUGUCAGAGGAAUUUUAAUGAAUGAGGUGAAAAUGGGAGACGGGAAGGGGAUCAAAAAUUUGGGUACUUACUCAGGUGAGUCGUGAAUUGUUUUGAGAAUAAUUAGUGUAAAGUGAGUGAAAAUGAGUACUUACUGUUUACAGAGAGGACUCCAGAAACUUUAGCGACUUCGGGUUGUAAUAAUGCGGGUUUGACGGCCCGAAGGGCUCCAGCGGCAGCUUUCGUUACAGCAUUCAACAUCAUGGCCGGCUGAAUGAG